rnacentral:rRNA from 1 species
UACGUAGGGUGCGAGCGUUAUCCGGAAUCAUUGGGUUUAAAGGGUCCGUAGGCGGGAAGAUAAGUCAGUGGUGAAAUCUCACAGCUCAACUGUGAAACUGCCAUUGAUACUGUCUUUCUUGAAUUCGAUCGAAGUGGGCGGAAUGUGACAUGUAGCGGUGAAAUGCUUAGAUAUGUCACAGAACACCGAUAGCGAAGGCAGCUCACUAGGUCUGGAUUGACGCUCAGGGACGAAAGCGUGGGGAGCAAACAGG